UUAACAUGUCUAAAUUUGAUUCCAUCUUUCAGAUCUUUCUGGAUGAAUGGAACAACAUGAAUUGUUCGCUCGUCUAAUGGCCUGCAAAAAGAAACUGGCUAAGGCUACGGAAGGAACGUCCUCUCCUAUUCCUUCAACAGGGUCAUCCGCUAUCGUUCCUCCUUCAUCAAUGAACCCUACCCUGACACUUACUGAUACUAAGGAAACUGGCACUAAGGUAAGACCCGCCGAUCCAGAGGUCCCCAAGAACAAAACCAAGAGAAAAACCCAGGAAAAGUC
rnacentral:lncRNA from 1 species